CUGUCUCUCUCUUUCGUUUUUCCUCCUCCUCUCGUCUUUUCUCUCCCCCCGCGACUCCUCACCGCCGCCACCACCCAUGCCGUCCGAUUCCGGUGAGUCCCGGCGGCGGGUGACACACCAACGACCUCCCCUGGCCCCACUCCUUCCUCCCAUCCGUCCAGAUCUGUCGCUAUAGGCCUUCUGCCCUCGCUCUUGACCCUUGGCCAUGGCUAGGGUUUCGCGCGCGGCGUCACCUUCGUCAUCGGCGAGGCUCUGGCGGGUUCUGGCGGCUCGUCUCCGUCGCCUUCCCCGCCCCCCCCCCUCCCCCAACGCGUGGCUCCGCCUCAUGGAGCGCUGCACUUCAGAUGGGAAUGUGGAGGGCCGCGGUCGCCGUGGCGGAGGAGGGGCGGCGCUGCCACAGAGGAGAGCGACGAGGGUUGCAGCGUUGCUGCAGAUGAGGAGGAGGAGGAGGAGAGCCACUGCACCGCGCGAUUCCCCAUGAACCUCUCAUCUUCAAGUUGAACAUCCUCUGUAGCAUCCACUGAAAUUUUCUAUAUGCCCUGCUCCCAGCGCGGCCGGAUGGCGCUCACUCCAGUGCUGAGUGGACUUCUUGAGCUCCUGCUUCACUUGCAAGAAGAAGCUAAAGGCAUACUGAUUUGUUGUGUGCCAUUGCAUCGGUGAGAAGGCAUUCUGCAGUGCCGAGUGCCGGGACCAAGAGAUCAUGAUCGAAGAGGAAGCAAAGAACAAGAUCGCCAUCACAUGCUCCUCUCACUCGUCUUGCUCGUCCCUGCACGCCGGUGGAUGGAACGGACAAUAGCGGAGGACAUGGACAUUGCUUGUCCUGCUCGUCCUGAACAACGUCAAGUGCCAAUGCGAACUACUAGAGUCAUAUGAGGCUUACAGCAAGCGGCAACAUCAGUGGCAUUCCGGUCCAAUGCAGUUGUUCAAGCUUUUCAUAUCCGACAUCAUCAAGCCCAAGAUGUGACGAAGAGAGGCUCACCAUAGUGGACUAUGGGGAGCAAUAUACUAGUCUUCAUCGAGCCAGCUCAAUCAAGAAAUGUGGUCCAAUUUGAGUAGGACAAGAUCAUCAUCUUCUAGCUCAAGUGGACUACGUGCAAGUUAAAGGUUUGACCUUAAUAGGUUUUCUAUUUUACCGGUCUCAUGGUGUUAGUUUGGAGGCCGGGUUAUAGAUUUGAUUACCGUAUUAUCAAGGGGGGCCCUCGAGUGAGUAGCUUGAUCAUAUCAUUCAUAGAGAGCUCAAACCAUUGCAUCGUUGGUAUGAUCUUUCUAGCUUUUGUUUGGCUUUUCUCCUUGUGAGUUUUGGAGCCUGUGGUCAUCCUCAUGACAAGCUCAAGUUCAUCGAUAACGGAUUUCGUAUGCAUCAUCUAUUGUGUUUUUUAUGUUGGUGUUUUGACGGUUCUUCACUCAUGGAGGUUUGAUUACCAUACAGCCCAAUGUAAUCCCACGAACACGUCGGAGAAGAGCCGACUACCUCAACUGUUGCCAUGACUCCGACUUCCCCGCCUCCACCAUCGUUGCCAUAGAAGCCUCAACGCCAACACCGACGCCUUUCACUAGUCCCACUUGCCGAUGCCCAGCUCCAAAGACGAAGCCCUCGAGAGGGGAAACGACGCCAUGGCGCCGACAACAUCCGAUCACACAAGAGUUAGGGUUUUCCCCCGAGCCGGAUCCAUGCGGUAGGGAUGUGGCAGCAAAGCAGCGAUGCCUCCAAGAAGGUCUACAACGCCUGCAGCCGCCACCAUCGCCGGUCACAGGCCCAAGGCCGAGACAAGGUCUUCAUCCAAGCUCCCGACACACCCAAUCCGCAUCCGUGUCGGCAAGUCCACCAAGCACGCCACCACCACCACCACCAACGAACCUACCCACUGACGAACAUAUCGUUGAUGUCACCGCCACAGCCAACUACACCUCGCAGGGACCACCAACGGCCAAUCACGAGCACGAACUGCCAGAUCCAUUGACGACCAAGAGCAGAGACACCGGCCGCAACACGACCACCACAUCCUGUCGAACACCAUGUCGACAAGGAACAGAGGUGCGCCGCCCGAGGCCGCGAACCGCCAUGGUUCCCGGUCAUGGCUCUACACCAGACGUGGUGCUACGGCGUCAAUCGAAGAUCAGAUCCAAUAGCCCCGCACGACAAGGCCGCAGUUCAGCAACACACCAGGACUCGACGCGAUGCCAGAUCGGCGCCACGUCCAUUGGAGACGUCCUCGCCAGGCCAGCUCCGCGCAACAUCCGCACACACAUCCGCAUGCGCCCCUUGCGGCCAAGCCGCCGCCCUCGCCUCGCCGCCACAAUCGUAUUUUUGGAGUUAAUUGCAUGUUG